GACGAACGCUGGCGGCGUGCUUAACACAUGCAAGUCGAACGGAAAGGCCCCUUUGGGGGUACUCGAGUGGCGCACGGGUGAGUAACACGUGAGUAACCUGCCCUUGACUUCGGGAUAACUUCAGGAAACUGGGGCUAAUACCGGAUAGGAAUCCUUUCUGCAUGGUGGGGGUUGGAAAGCUUCGGCGGUUUUUGAUGGACUCGCGGCUUAUCAGCUUGUUGGUGGGGUAGUGGCUUACCAAGGCUUUGACGGGUAGCCGGCCUGGGAGGGCGACCGGCCACAUUGGGACUGAGAUAAGGCCCAGACUCCUACGGGAGGGAGAAGUGGGGAAUAUUGCACAAUGGGCGGAAGCCUGAUGCAGCAACGCCGCGGGCGGGAUGACGGCCUUCGGGUUGUAAAACGCUUUCAGCAGGGGCGAAGCUUGUGGUGACGGUACCUGAAGAAGAAGCACCGGCUAACUACGUG
rnacentral:rRNA from 1 species